CCAAUUCUUUUAAUAAUAUAAGACUAAAUUAAUCAAUUUAAAAAUAAAAAAUUAAUUUAAUCCAAUCCUUGUUAACAGGAUCUCUCACGGAGUUUAACCCAAACUAAAUGCAUGUCCAAUGAUCAUAUUCUGACCACGAUCCACCUGUAUACACAGACACUGCAGCAGAUAGCAGCAAAUAGAAAACACUGUUAGAAAAUGUUAUACCUCUUUUACGUAUUCGACAUUAAUUGUAACAAUAACGGUGUUAAAUUCUGUUUAAAGUUGCAACUUUUGGACAAAUUAAUUCAAUGUGUAUAUUUGGAUGUCUUACCAUAUAUACACGAGGUAAUUAAUUAUUACCCUAUCUUACCUUUUUUUACUCUAUUGGGGUUGUUCAAAAUCCAGCUAAAUAAAUAAUCUCACCCAAUAAUUAAAGUUACUAUGAUUAGAACUGUUUAAAUUUUUUUCAAAUUUUAUUUAAAUAUCAAAUUGUUAAUUCUUUCGAGUUAUUCAUUUGACGCGUUAAAUAUAUUAUUAGAAAUUAAAAAUUUAUCACAUGCAUAUAUGUGUGAAAAAUCUCAUAUUUAGAAAACAGUAAAGUAAUAGUGUGCAUGAUAACAUAAAAGUAUUAGAAUAAAUUUUAAUAUUUUAUUAAUCUAAUUAGCAUGAAUUUUAAAUCUCAUUAACCUAAUCAUUAUUGUGCAUAAAAUAUUUAUGAAUUUAUUAUAAAUAUAUAUUUGUUAUUGUAAUAAUUUAUAAACGACCUCAUCUAUUAUACCAAAACAAGACUACUUAAUACAAUAUCAUGCCUUAUAUGUCACACUUUAAACUUAAUUAAAUUUUUAUUUAUUAUAUUUAAAGCUACCAUAAUUACACUUUCUUUUCUUUUUAUAACUUCGAACUUGAAAAAUCAGUGAAUGAGUGCAAUCAAUUUAUUUCAAAGUAAUUCAACAAACUCCAAAAUAAUUAAAAAGUAGAAUAACCAAAUAAAUUGCUUACUUUUUAGGGUUACACUGAUAUGCGGCUAAGGGUUUUUUUUUUUUUUUUUACAUUCUUUUAUGGUUGUUUGAAAAUGGACAGGGCUUAAGGAUGUUGCAAAUUGUGAAUUUCUUUCUCCACAAUUUCCUUCCUAACUACGGGCCCAAAAAAUUGGGUUUUUUUUAUAGAGAGAAUCUAGAGUUUGGUCCCACGUAGGGUUUUGUAUGUGCUAGAUGUGACACCACCAAAUUUAAGUAUGUGAUGUCAUAUUACGUCGUCAAAGUAGCUAAAACUGUAGUAACACAAAUGCAUUCAAUUCAAUCAUCAAAAUAAUUCAUAUGUAAGCGUUCAAGUUAAUUUCAGAGCUAAGACUCGAAUCCAAACUCAAAGUCAAAUUUCAAAUUUAUGUCUUGAGACAAGAGUUUUUAUGUCUCGAGGCAGGUCAUAAAUAAUUUUGAAAUUUUUAACUUCAAAGUUAACAUGUCUCGAGGCAAGGUCCUUUAUGUCUUGAGACCAACCUCCCAUAUUUUCUUAUUUUUCUUGUCUCAAGACCUAGAGCAAGGAAAAAUAUUUAGCUUCAAUGUUCUUUUGCCUCGAGACAUAGAAACAAUUGCCUCAAGACUAUAUAAAUAUGUCUCGAGACCCUAGACUCUUAAUUUCAAAAUUUAAAUGAAAUUUGAUCCAGCGGUCUCGAGACUCAGUGGUCAAAUGGUCAAAAUUCUACACUUCUAAGUGUUUAAUGCCUCAACCAUUUGAACUUAAAUCUACCUAAAACUUACCACAAAACAUAUUCAUCCAAUCGACCUAUCUAAACAUGUUUAAACACUACUAAAUCAUAACCUGCAAUAGGUCAUUACUAAACCAACCCAUUUGCACAUUCAAACUCACAUAAACAAACAUAAUUAACUAGUAAUUAAAAGUUAAAAUUCAACUAACAUAACAUUAUAGGUCACUUACUAAAAGUGUCAAAACUAACUUAGGCAACAAGCCUACCAACUUAGGUACAGCCAUAUGAGAGCACAAACCAGAUUAGCUAUUUGUUGAUGAUUGUCUUUCCCUUUGCUUUUCGAUGUUCCAACGUCUUCUUUAGCUAUGUAAAAUAAAUUUGAAUAUAGAAAAUUCAUUAAUAAUCCAAUUCAAACACAAAUCAACACAUUAAAUACAUGAAUUCAUUUUAUUCGAUUUAGUCCCUAUACACCCUAAUAUCUGAAACACUCUAUACUCACAAUUUACUUACCGAAUUUAAAUCCAACUUAAUAAGCAUAGUACAAGGACCUCUUGCUACCUCUAUUUAUUUUCAAACCUCAAAGUUUACAUUUCUUACAAUUAGAUCAUGAAUUAAACAUAAUUUAAUUAUAUAAUCCUAAUUCAAUACUUUUCGCCAAAAUUUCAAUAGAAAUAACUAUAAUCUUAACUACUAUUAACAUGCAUGAGUUUUGAACAUUAAACUUCAAUUUUCCUCAAGUUACCAUCAAAGGAAUUUCAUCUAAAAUCUUACUAAUUCCUCAAAUAUUUAAUAUUUAUUGUACUUUAAUAAAAAAAUCAAUAAAAAAUUAUGACUAAACUUACCAAUUUCCUUGGCAAGCUCGGCGAUGGUGGAGAAAUGGAGAAGGAAAUGUUUUUUCUUUCUUUCCUAGCUAGACUGUAGAAAGGAUGAAAGAAAAUGAUGAUGUCUGUCCCUCACUAUCUGAUUAACCUUUAAUUAGUAGUUAUCUGAAUUAACAAGUUAAACACUAGAAAGUGGAAAGUGUUGACAUUUCUGCUUCUUAGUUUUGCAAUCGUCUAAUUGCUAUUAUCAGUUUCCUCCAUUUUAGUUACUAAUCAAUUUAUUCUCUGUAUUAUUUUAUUAAUCAAUUUAAUUCAAUAAUACUCAAUAAUUCAAAUUUCCUAAUCCCUCGAAAUUAUCCUAUUCUAAUUGUUUAUUAGCUUAUUUCAAAAAUCUAGUCUAAAACUAAAUUUUAUGACAUUGUUAAAAUCGAGUUGUUACGUCAAAGAUGUGAGAAAAUCUCUACCUCGAAUCACCAUCUCAGUGGCAAAUUUCGUGCCCCGACACCGUAGAGAUUCUCUGCUCCUUGGCACCGACUAGACCUGCAUCGGGUUCUCAAAUCACCAAGUUGGCAAUCGAUUUGGUUCCCAAAGUCGACAGAUGAGUGGUAAUUUUCAGAACCUAAGAGUCCCCCCUCAUUUUCACCCCAAAUCGCCAUUCCAUUCACCUAUUUGGGUGUCAGUUGUCCCUACGCAUAUAUUUCGUUCUUGAGGUGAUUAGCCCUCUUUUUUCUUUUUGGUUUAGUGUAGCAAUCGAG
rnacentral:lncRNA from 1 species